CAGUAGCCGCGGUAAUACGUAGGUGGCAAGCGUUGUCCGGAAUUAUUGGGCGUAAAGGGCUCGCAGGCGGUUUCUUAAGUCUGAUGUGAAAGCCCCCGGCUCAACCGGGGAGGGUCAUUGGAAACUGGGAAACUUGAGUGCAGAAGAGGAGAGUGGAAUUCCACGUGUAGCGGUGAAAUGCGUAGAGAUGUGGAGGAACACCAGUGGCGAAGGCGACUCUCUGGUCUGUAACUGACGCUGAGGAGCGAAAGCGUGUGGAGCGAACAGGAUUAGAUACCCGGGUAGUCCCUGUCUCUUAUAC
rnacentral:rRNA from 1 species